AAACCUCCUUUUAACAAACGGGUGUUUGAGCUUUAAAGUGAGGGCGCCCCAGCCCCUUGGGCAAGUGCUGCUCCUGAGGGCCUUGAACUGGGGGCCGUGGCCUUCCUGCCAUGCGGCAGAGGGGGUGGUCCCUGGGCUGAGGGGGGUUCUGGGAACUGUGUUGCAAAGCCUUGUGCAGGAGAGUGGGGCUGGGUUUGGGGGCCAGAAAAGCCUGAGUUCAGAUGCUGACGCAGCCCCUCGUUAGCCGUGGAACCUCGGGUGAGUUACUUCAUUCUCCUGAGCUUUCCUUUCCUUCCAGGGGGGAAACAGCAAUCAGUCGGGAGGGCAGAGGCCUGGUCUGUGUCUUUGAACCUCCAGUGCCUGGCAGGUGGUUAGUAGGUACUUAGUUGGUAUUUUGUGGGUGGAGGAGUACUUGAGGCAUUUUUACGAGAAGUUGGUCUUCCUGUGGCCUCUGUUGAUGAGGGGAGAUGGAGUCUUUCCAUGAAGUGAGGAUAGUGUUGGGGUCCCGGGCUUGGCUGGGCAGCUUUCCCGUGCCUGGGCGGAGAGCCGGCUGCUGACAUGGGCUCCUCUGCCUGGCUCUUUUUCUGUCCUUUGUUGCCCCUGCAUUUGGAAGCGAUCAUGGGCUGCCCGUGCCCUGGUCACUGGUAGUGCCGGCAGAGGAGUUGCUGAAAGUGUUUACCCGUGUUUGGAGGGUUCACUCCUGUCCCUUCCCAACUCUGGAGCUGUCCCACUCGGCCGUCCUCCCGCCGCCUUUCUAUUAUUUUACUAUUUUAAUAUUUUAAUAAUUACUGCACACCGCACGGCUUGCCGGAUCUUAGUUCCCUGACCAGGAAUUGAAUCAAGGCCGUGGCAGUGAAAGCGCACGGAGUCCUAACCACUGGACCUCCAGGGAAUUCCCCCCAGCGCCUCUUUCGAUGUCUCCUGGCACCUGGUGUCUGUUGAGUGCCCUCUGCCUGGCUUGGUGCUGGUUUCUGAGGCUUUAAAAAAGGAGAAUGGGAGUGGGUCUUGCCACAGCUGUGGUCUUCUGACCCUGGUCUCCAGUCUCAGCAGCCCUGUGUUCUUUUCUGCCUCUGGAUUUGAAGUGGUUACAGGCUGCCCGUGUCCUGGUCAUUGGUAAUAUGGGCCAAGGAAAAAUGCAAGACUUUCCCCAUGUUCAGGGGACCCAUACUUGUCUCUUCCAUACAGGACAGCCUUCAGUGACUAGCAGUGACCAAGCAUGAGGCAGUCCGAGGAUGGAGAGAGUCAGGCUGUAGUGCGUUCAUUGCCUAAGACCCGAAUCCCCCCAACACACACACCGUGUUUUCCUGUCGAUGAGCAUAAUGGUUUCCUGCCAGUUGGGCAGAUCACGUGAUGGCUUCUUGUCCCCUGCGGGAGUGUCACAUGGCUGCUGUUGCAUGAGACGUGUCGUCAGGGAGACCCGGGACUGAGUCCCAGGUAAGUGGUGUCCCGCCCGUUCUCUAGUACUUGAGUUGUGUGCAGGCUGUGAGGCCAGAGAUGUUGGGUGCUGAGGUGUGGAGAGCGAGGGUGCAGUGGAGGCUUGGGCCCCCUUCUGCUCCUGAGAGCCUGGAUGGAGGCUGCUGUGAUGUUCAGAGGACAGAGAUUCACAUCCAGUGACCAGCCAAGUGCUCUUCUGUGAGCCUGAGCGAGAAUUCUGUCAGGUGUUCGAUCCUGGUGCCACUUACACACAUUCCUUCAGGACCUAAGAGUUCUCAGUAUUUCUGCCGUUAGUCUUCUCUUCAGCUCUUGGCAGGGACUGGUGAAUAAUCGGGUGGUUCUGUCAUCUUAGGCUGGAAGUCUGGUCAGUGACCUGUCUGAUGGUCUGUUCCUAGGCCAGGCCGUUUCCCAGGAUGCUGGCAGUGGCCUCCCUUCUCCGCUGCCUCACUGCCCUUUUCUGCCCCUGCAUUCGGAAGUGAUCGUGGGCUGCCCGUGCCCUGGUCAUUGAUAGUGCAGGGAGAGGAGUUGCUGAAAGCCUUUCCCCGUGUUUGGAGGGUUCAGUCCUGUCCCUUGCAAACUCUGGAGCUUUCGUACAUGUCUUUCUUCCCACUGAUUUGUGUUGCUUCCUGGUCCCUGGCGCUGUGUGCUCGCUGAGUGCCCCUGUUCCCGAACAGGGCCCUGCCUUAGCAGUUCACGGGCUGGCAGUGGAGGGCUCCCCUCUGGAUGUUUUCUCUGAUUCCCCAUCGCACCCCUUCCUCAUCCCGCAUCCUCAGCCCCGCCCCUCAGCGCUGAUCGCCUAGAAAGUGUUGAUUUGCUGAUCUGGCCCCUUAUGCUGUAAUCUUGAGGGCAGCGCCUCCUUGUUUUGCGUUGCGUCUGGUGCCUGAUGCACAGCACCGGGACCAAAAAAAAAAACCCCAAAGAGGUGGAGAUGACCCAUCUGUUGUGAGGUGACAGGGCUCCUCCCAUUGCAGAGUGUCAGGGAACCAAGCCCUCCAGCAAGCCAGCCUACCGGGUCAGCUUCCUUUUCUCCACUGGAAUUGUUUCUGUAAUGAAAGGUAGACUUACUAUAAUCUAGGUAGACUUACUGGUCAUGAGCAGGGCCCGUGGUCCGCUGUGGGUGUUUUUCUAGUGACCGACCUGGACAAAGCCCAGUAUAGUUGAGGAUGCAUAUGUAAGUCGCCCUUAUACUACGUAGCAGGCACGGGGCCCUCCCCCCACCUGUUACCCCUCCCGGUCCAUUCUAGUCAUUGCCAGGCAGCCACAGCCUGCAGACUGGUUAGCAGCAAAUUGAUCACAGUUGGCACAUAGGGUAACGUAGGUAUUAUUCCUGUCAGAGAUGACCUGCAGACCCCCUCCUAGGGUUAAAUCGUCCUUGUUCCUGAGACCGUAGUGUGGCCGUUCAGGUACUGCAGUAACAGCCUGCCUUCGUGGGUGCUAGAGACUGCCAGCUGCUGUGCCAAGUGUUCUGUGCGUCCCCCAGGGCCUGCUGUGAGUGCCCGUUCACCGAUUUUCCUUUGCAGCUGGGUCUGUGUGCACAGAGGCUCCACAGGACGCAUCAUCUUCGUGUCAGCCAGGCUCUAGGCCCCGGGGCCCCAGGUCAGCGUUCGAUCUGGAGAUCGUUGAGGAAGUCCCAAGGCCAUGAGUCAGUGACUUUGGGGUGACUUGGGAUCUGGCAUUGCUGGUAUUUCUCCCCAAGAUUCCUUUUGUUCGUGGACACCAGCGGGGCAGAGAGUGGAGAGUGCAGUCCACACAUGAAGAGCUCCCCGCCGCCUGCUCAGAGUGUCAUGGGAGAACUGUUUACUCAGCACGAGAAAUCAGGGCAAAGCACUGGGACUGGGGGCUUGGGGCCCCCUUCAGCUGGCUCUGAGUCCCGACAGCAGUGCCCUUGGGCGCCAUGGACAGGGAAGGCCUUUCCCCGUCCCUCUGCCAUGCCUGCGUGACUUCAGCGACCAAGAGUUUUUCUCUUGAGUUGGCUGCUGCUCAUCAUCAUCACUUUUCUCUCCACCCAUCCAUUCAAUACACCGUAUGCACCCGC